rnacentral:rRNA from 1 species
UUGACGGUACCCUACUAGAAAGGAGCCGCUAACUUCGUGCCAGAAGCGUCGGUAAUACGGGGGCUCCAAGCGUUAUCCGGUGUUAUUGGGCGUAAAGAGUCGUGUAGGUGGUUGGGUAAGUUAUCUUUCAAAUAUCUUUGCUUAACAAAGAGGAGGGGGAUAAUACUGCCCGACUAGAAUUUUCUCAAGGGAGAUCGGAACUGAGGGAGGAGUAGUGAAAUGCGUUGAUACCCUCGGGAACACCAGUGGCGUAGGCGGAUCUCUGGGAGAAGAUUGACACUGAGACACGAAAGCUAGGGGAGCGAAGCAGAUUAGAGACCUGCGUAGUCCUAGCCGUAAACGCAUGCUUGCUAGCUGCAUGAAUCUACCUUCGGGUGGUAUCGUGUGGCGAAGGUAACCCGUUAAGCAAGCCGCCUGGAAAGUACGGCCGCAAGGCUGAAAUUCAAAGGAAUUGGCGGGGAGGCACACAACCAGUGGAACAUGUGGUUUAAUUCGAGACUAACCGAAGAACCUCACCAGGGUUUGACAUGUAGCUGCACGUCUUAAGAAAUUAAGACUCUCUUGAAGGUGCUACACAGGUGCUGCAUGGCUGUCGUCAGCUCGUUCCGUGAGGAGUGCCCUUAAGUGGGACAACGAGCGCAACCCCUAUUACAUGUUAGAAAUGUCAUGUAAGACUGCCUUGCCAUUUGGCGGGGAGGAAGGAGGGGCAGACGUCAAGUCCGCAUGGUCCUUAUGCCCUGGGCUACACACAUGCUACAAUGAGUACGGCAAUGAGUCUGUCGCGAGCACGUAAGUGUAAGCUAAUCUCUUAAAUGUACUCUCAGUGGGGAUUGAGGUCUGCAACUCGACCUCAUGAACACGGAAUUGGUAGUAAUCGCGGGUCAGCUAUACCGCGGUGAUACGUUCUUGCCUCUUGCACACACCGCCCGUCAAACCAGCAAAGU